AGCAGCCGCGGUAAUUCCAGCUCCAAUAGCGUAUAUUAAAGUUGUUGCAGUUAAAAGCUCGUAGUUGAAUUUCGGGAUCAAAGAAUCGGUCAUGCCUUGGUAUGUACUGGUUUUAUUGGUUCUCACCUUCUAAAGAACCAUGAUGUCAUCCAUUUGAUGUUAUGGGGAAUUAGGACUGUUACCUUGAAAAAAUUAGAGUGUUUAAAGCAAGCUUACGCUUGAAUACAUUAGCAUGGAAUAAUGAAAUAGGACAUCAGAUCUAUUUUGUUGGUUUCUAGGAUCGAUGUAAUGAUUAAUAGGGAUAGUUGGGGGCAUUAGUAUUCAAUUGUCAGAGGUGAAAUUCUUGGAUUUAUUGAAGACUAACUACUGCGAAAGCAUUUGCCAAGGAUGUUUUCAUUAAUCAAGAACGAAAGUUAGGGGAUCGAAGACGAUCAGAUACCGUCGUAGUCUUAACCAUAAACUAUGCCGACUAGGGAUCGGAUGAUGUUAAUUUUUUAAUGACUCAUUCGGCGCCUUACGG
rnacentral:rRNA from 1 species